GAGGUACCUGUCAGGGUGAAGUAGAGGGUAAGAACAGAGAGGUCCUCUUGGGCCCUGAAUCUCAUGGUGUUGGUUGUCUUCGGCCAGAUUGGAGGCUGCAGGCAGGCUGAACAGCAGCAGAUAACCCCUGCCAAAGAGGAAGAGCAGAUGUAGAUACCGGUCACAUGGCUGUAGAUGCUGAUCAAGAAUCAAAUUGGCUGUAUUUUUGGUUAACUCGAUGAGCUAUUAGCACUAAGAAAAUAAAUAGAUUCAGAGACGUGCUAUCACUUUAGGCAAGUUGGUAGAACGGGGCUUGAUGAUGAGUUUGAGCCACUUGUUCUCUUGGAGAAACAGAUAACACAUGUGAGCAAAUCACAGGAAAUGAUGUAUAACAGAAGAUCCAGGUCAGUUCCGUUUUGACUGAGAGGCCAACUCGAUUUUCAUUGAUAGUUCAUGUCUAAUUUCAUUGCUCCUUUUCUAUUUGUCAUGAUGAAGGAUUGAUUCUGAGAACCCCACUAGGAACAUUUGAGGUUAGAGCAUUGGUCUUUUGUUAACUACCAAUGUUUUGGGCAUCAUCCAACGAAUUAGCUUAUUUUUGUUUGCCAUUGGGAGUAAAAGUACAUGCUUAUAUUUUAAUUGUUCAUGGUCCUGCCUUUUCUAUUAUCAAAUACAUGUGGAUGCUUUAUCCUGGCAUUCUUAUUAUCGUUGCCUUUUCAUUUACAUUAUAUGACCAUUACUAUUUUCAGCUUGCAUGCUUUCUGAAAUAAGUAGUUACUGAUAUAUGAAAAAUUACUGUUAGUAUUACAGUUGUAGGAUCUAAUUUAAAUGACCAAUAUGCUGUGUGUAGCUCUUUAUAGGUGGCAGUGAGUUUAGAUAGAUGAAAAAGAUCCAACAUCAGUUCUAUGUAUGUGAGUGUGGCUGCUGGAGUUGCUAGGAUAUAAUGUACACUGCAAUGUUUAUCUUACUUCUAAAUUUUCCAGUACUAACGGUGUGAAAUCUGUUUGGACCUUCUCUUUUUAGUUCAAAUUGGCCCACAAAGCAGUCAACUCACAGCUUAAAUGUGUUGCUAAUAUUAUUGCAACUGUUCAUUAAUACAAAGUUGUAUAUGGUCCGGUUUAACACUACCAAGUAGAUGUUAAUUUCUUUGUACUGUGUAUUGAGAUAUCAAUGAGAAAAAGUAUCUACAUUCUCCGGCAGGACUAUAUGGUGUACAAGUUCAGGUAUGAUCUUUGGAAUGUGAUUUUCAUGAUUAUUUACUCAUAGUUUUGCUCUUUGGUAUAAUAUAUGCAUCACCAUAUUUUGUGGUUUUCGGAGUAAUGUUUAAAUUAUAAUUGGUGUAAUAUAUGCAUCACCUUGGUGAACAGAAGAAAUCCUACAAAUCAAUGGUUGUCCCUAUCGACUUUCUAUGGGAGUUAAACUGGUUCAUUUAAGGAGCAUAACGAUUGGUCGGGUACAUCUGACUCUAAAAGAAUUUGCUUUGCAAAUGUGGGUAAGUGCCAUCGGAGAUCCAUACUGUGCUAGCAUAUAUUGAUCUCGAGACAAGAACUAUGGAUGAUCUGUCAAGUUUCAAGUGCAUUGUGCGUUCUCAGAAAAUAAUACCUAUACCAGAUGAAAUCAGUAUCAACGUUCCGGAGAAUGAUUUACCAGAAAGCUCCUCCUUGCAGAACAGGUAUGUCUCUGUUUCUAAAUAAGUAUACAUUUUUCUCGGAUAAGACUCAAUAUCUGCAUGGUAAAACUAGAAGAUGUAUGUACAAGGGUGCACCUACAGCUGCAUCUACAAGUCUAACAGUGGCCCCUGCUGAGUGUUAUAUUUCACAAAAAAUGUUUCAGCACUGGUUUUGCAUCCCAAUCCUGAUACCUAUUUUUCAGACUUAAACAUGUGUGUGAAUUUGACAAAAAAAAUGCGUGUUCAUGUUCAAGUGAAGAAAUUACGUGACAGUGCAUUUAUGGUUCUUUCCCAAGAUUAUCCCUUCAUAUCUUUGCACAAAAUGUUCUCUGUCUCAUUUGAAGAGUGGACACCUGAAUAUGGCUCAGUUGGAUGUGUGGUCACCCGGUUUGUUAAGUUUAAGACAUCUGACUUACCGUGCAACUUGAGUUCAUCCCCAAUAGUUGAGUAUAUUCUACCUCCAUUUUUUUUAUGAAAACUCAUAUGACAGCAAAAAAUGACAGUACCUUGGUCGGCAAUACAGUUGCUGCUUACAAGUGCACUGUCUUGUGUGCUGCUAUUGAGGCUAUACCAUGCAUGGUGCGCGUCAAAGUUUUAUCUUCCCAUCUAAUCAACCUAGCACAUACCUGACCAGAUACUAGAUGCAACUAUCCAUCACUUAUUCUAUUCAUAAAUGCUGAUGCUAUUUUUGGUAUGACACUUCCUCUCUAAUACUUCUAUGGUAAGCCUUUAUAUAUAUUUGCUUAGUUUGGAAACUUGCAUUAGUAUGCACGAAGUGGAAACUAAUCAUUUAUCAUCAACUGCAGAUCCAGGAUCACAUUCAGGCAAUCAAUUUACGAAUUCUGUAGUUGUCAAAUUUUGGUUUUUAGUAGGAGUAUGUACUUAAGAAGAAUGCUUUGCUUGCAACCAUAAUGUGUUUGGUUUAGGUGGACAGCGCUCUGCUUUCUGUGCUUUGCUUGCAAGCAUAAUGUGUUCGGUUUAGAUAGAAGAAAAAUGUAGGAAUUGUCCAGUUCUCUCUGUUUCCUUAUUUGUUAUUUUGAAGGUUCAAUCUUCUUUAUCUUUGUCCAAUGUAUGGUAUACUACUGCGUGUAAUUGCUGUCAAUGGAUAAAUCGAAGGCUGUCCUCUCUA